rnacentral:rRNA from 1 species
UACGGAGGGUGCAAACGUUGUUCGGAAUCAUUGGGCGUAAAGCGUCCGUAGGCGGGUGGGUGUGUCGGAUGUGAAAGCCCAGGGCUCAACCCUGGAACUGCAUUCGAAACUGCAGAUCUUGAGUACGGGAGAGGGAAGCAGAAUUCCUGGUGUAGAGGUGAAAUUCGUAGAUAUCAGGAGGAAUACCUGUGGCGAAAGCGGCUUCCUGGUCCGAUACUGACACUCAUGGACGAAAGCGCGGGGAGCAAACAGG